rnacentral:rRNA from 1 species
UACGUAGGGGGCAAGCGUUGUCCGGAAUCACUGGGCUUAAAGCGCGUGUAGGCGGAUGGGGACGUCGGUCGCUGAAAUCCCCCGGCUCAACCGGGGAACGGGCACCGAAACGCCCCGUCUCGAGGGACGUAGGGGGACCUGGAACUUCCGGUGGAGCGGUGAAAUGCGUAGAUAUCGCUUGGAACGCCAAAGGUGAAAACAGACAGCUGGGAGUGUGCUGACGCUGAGACACGAAAGCCAGGGGAGCGAACGGG